rnacentral:rRNA from 1 species
ACGGAGGGUGCAAGCGUUAUCCGGAUUCACUGGGUUUAAAGGGUGCGUAGGCGGAUAAGUAAGUCAGUGGUGAAAUCUCCGGGCUUAACCCGGAAACUGCCGUUGAUACUAUUUGUCUUGAAUAUUGCGGAGGUAAGCGGAAUAUGUCAUGUAGCGGUGAGAUGCUUAGAUAUGACAUAGAACACCAAUUGCGAAGGCAGCUUACUACACAAUCAUUGACGCUGAGGCACGAGAGCGUGGGGAUCAAACAGGA